CGAGCCGCUACGAUAUAUCUACGGUCUCCUACAGACUCGUUACGAACAUUCUGCGAGUUUGAAUCAAGGGGAAAACUAGGGAGAAUUCGUGAUUAACUCGGGAAAGUAGGACACAGGCCCUUUAGAGCUUAAUUUCAUG